rnacentral:rRNA from 1 species
UACGGAGGAUGCGAGCGUUAUCCGGAUUUAUUGGGUUUAAAGGGUGCGUAGGCGGACGCUUAAGUCAGCGGUAAAAUUGCGGGGCUCAACCUCGUCGAGCCGUUGAAACUGGGUGCCUUGAGUGGGCGAGAAGUACGCGGAAUGCGUGGUGUAGCGGUGAAAUGCAUAGGUAUCACGCAGAACUCCGAUUGCGAAGGCAGCGUACCGGCGCCCAACUGACGCUGAAGCACGAAGGCGUGGGUAUCGAACAGG